GACGAACGCUGGCGGCGUGCCUAAUACAUGCAAGUUGAGCGAUGAAGAUUGGUGCUUGCACCAAUUUGAAGAGCAGCGAACGGGUGAGUAACGCGUGGGGAAUCUGCCUUUGAGCGGGGGACAACAUUUGGAAACGAAUGCUAAUACCGCAUAGCAACUUUAAACAUAAGUUUUAAGUUUGAAAGAUGCAAUUGCAUCACUCAAAGAUGAUCCCGCGUUGUAUUAGCUAGUUGGUGAGGUAAAGGCUCACCAAGGCGAUGAUACAUAGCCGACCUGAGAGGGUGAUCGGCCACAUUGGGACUGAGACACGGCCCAAUCUCCUACGGGAGGCAGCAGUAGGGAAUCUUCGGCAAUGGACGAAAGUCUGACCGAGCAACGCCGCGGGAGUGAAGAAGGUUUUCGGAUCGUAAAACUCUGUUGGUAGAGAAGAACGUUGGUGAGAGUGGAAAGCUCAUCAAGUGACGGUAACUACCCAGAAAGGGACGGCUAACUACGUG
rnacentral:rRNA from 1 species